GAUGAACGCUAGCGAUAGGCCUAACACAUGCAAGUCGAGGGGCAGCAUAGAGUAGCAAUACUUUGAUGGCGACCGGCGCACGGGUGAGUAACACGUAUGCAACCUACCUACAUCAGGGGAAUAACCCGGAGAAAUUCGGACUAAUACCGCAUAAUACAGGGAUGCCGCAUGGCAAUAUUUGUUAAAGAUUUAUCGGAUGUAGAUGGGCAUGCAUUCCAUUAGCUUGUUGGUGAGGUAACGGCUCACCAAGGUAACGAUGGAUAGGGGAACUGAGAGGUUUGUCCCCCACACUGGAACUGAGACACGGACCAGACUCCUACGGGAGGCAGCAGUGAGGAAUAUUGGUCAAUGGACGAGAGUCUGAACCAGCCAAAUCGCGCGAAGGAAGACUGCCCUACGGGUUGUAAACUUCUUUUGUACAGGAAUAAAAGACAUUACGUGUAAUGUAUUGCAUGUACUGUACGAAUAAGCAUCGGCUAACUCCGUGCCAGCCGCCGCGGUAA
rnacentral:rRNA from 1 species